rnacentral:rRNA from 1 species
UACGUAGGGUGCAAGCGUUGUCCGGAAUUAUUGGGCGUAAAGGGCUCGUAGGCGGUCUGUCACGUCGGGAGUGAAACUCGGGGCUUAACCCCGAGCCUGCUUCCGAUACGGGCAGACUAGAGGUAUGCAGGGGAGAAUGGAAUUCCUGGUGUAGCGGUGAAAUGCGCAGAUAUCGGGAGGAACACCGGUGGCGAAGGCGGUUCUCUGGGCCUUACCCUGACGCUGAGGAGCGAAAGCCAGGGGAGCAAACGGGAUU